rnacentral:rRNA from 1 species
UUGCGCCUACGGGAGGCAGCAGUGGGGAAUUUUGGACAAUGGGCGCAAGCCUGAUCCAGCUAUUCCGCGUGUGGGAUGAAGGCCCUCGGGUUGUAAACCACUUUUGUAGAGAACGAAAAGACACCUUUUAAUAAAGGGUGUUGCUGACGGUACUCUAAGAAUAAGCACCGGCUAACUACGUGCCAGCAGCCGCGGUAAUACGUAGGGUGCGAGCGUUAAUCGGAAUUACUGGGCGUAAAGGGUGCGCAGGCGGCUGUGGAAGACAAGU